rfam:Salmonella enterica subsp. enterica serovar Newport str. S09097 S_Newport_S09097_mira454_c47, whole genome shotgun sequence.
GGUAUUCCUUAUCUAUCUAAUACGUUGAGUUAUCUGGAACCUGUCCCAUUAAACUUUCGUCAGAAAGCUUAAUAAGACAGGUUCUGCGUUUAGUUGCCGCGCACAUUUUUGCG